rnacentral:rRNA from 1 species
UACGUAGGGGGCAAGCGUUGUCCGGAUUUAUUGGGCGUAAAGAGCGUGUAGGCGGCUUGGUAGGUCCGCUGUGAAAACUCGAGGCUCAACCUCGAGAUGUCGGCGGAAACCACUUGGCUAGAGUCCGGAAGAGGAGAGUGGAAUUCCCGGUAUAGCGGUGAAAUGCGCAGAUAUCGGGAAGAACACCUAUGGCGAAGGCAGCUCUCUGGGACGGUACUGACGCUGAGACGCGAAAAGCGUGGGGAGCGAACAGG